CCAUCAUCCCCCCACCAUCACCUUCUCUACAAAACUCUCAGGAAUUACAUCACAAUCCCACAAUGCUUUGCUGAGCGUGCUGCAGUGAGUUAGCAUUUAGAGAGUUGGUGAAAGGAGAGGAAGGACCGAGAGUGGACGAAAGAGUGAGUGUUUACACAGCGAACUGAUGAAUGAUGUUGGGAGUGGACAAAGUGAUGUUGCUUUAUUGAGGACCCCGAGAGAGGUGCUGACUGAGACAGUGUGGGAGGUCUUUGAUCGAGUGUUAGGAUGGCCACUGAAGCUUCUACCCUCCCCAGCCCUGUGGUACGUCAGAUCGACAAACAAUUCCUGAUUUGCAGCAUCUGUCUGGAUCGGUACAACAACCCCAAAGUCCUCCCCUGUCUCCACACCUUCUGUGAAAGGUGUCUACAGAACUACAUACCUGCCCACAGUUUGACUCUGUCCUGCCCAGUGUGCCGUCAGACCUCCAUCCUGCCAGAGAAGGGUGUGGCGGCACUCCAGAGCAACUUUUUCAUCACCAACCUGAUGGAGGUGCUAAAGAGAAGCCCAGACACUAACCUCAGCGAGGACUGCACAGAGACUAUCAACGGAGUGACCACUGGACAACCACUUUCUUGUCCCAAUCAUGGAGGAAACGUAAUGGAGUUCUACUGUCCACCAUGUGAGACAGCCAUGUGUGAGGAGUGCACCUGUGGAGAACAUGCAAAACAUGCUACGGUCCCACUCAAAGAUGUUCUCGAACAACACAAGGCCUCCCUGCAAGAGCAGCUGGAUUCCGUCAAAAACAGACUUCCAGAAAUUGACUCUGCACUUCAGGUUUUGUCUGAGAUUCUGCAGCAGCUGACCAACAAGAAAAGUUCAAUAGAAGAAAUAAUUCAUGCUACUUUUGAAGAACUUCAGAAGACCCUCAACGUACGCAAGAGUGUUCUUCUUAUGGAGCUUGAGGUCAACUAUGGACUCAAACAGAAGGUGUUGCAGAUGCAGUUGGAGUCAUUGCUGCAGGGGCAGGAGAGCAUGCGCACCAGCUGCAGUUUUACAGAGCAGACUCUUAACCAUGGCUCUGAAGCUGAAGUCCUGUUAGUGAAGAAGCAGAUGAGCGAGCGUCUUGAUGAGCUGGCCAAUCAGGUGCUCCCACUUCAGCCAGAAGAGAACAACCAGCUGGACUUCUUGGUAGAGACCGAAGGCCUUCGUAAAUCCAUCCACAACCUUGGUGCUAUAGUAACCACCAAUGCUAUCGCUGCUGAAACGGUUGCCACCGGUGAUGGAAUGAGACACUGUGUCGUCGGGCAGCCCACCUCUGUUACCAUAACGACGAAAGACAGAGAUGGCAGUCUGUGUCGGGCAGGAAACGCUUUGCUCACAGCUGACCUUUCUGCUUCUGAUGGCACCAUAGUGGCAGCAAGUGAAGUCAUUGAUCAUAAAAAUGGCACUUAUGAGUUUGUAUACAUGGUACCCUGUGAGGGCCACUUUACCCUCUCCUUAAAACUGUAUGAUCAGCACAUUAGGGGAAGUCCAUUCAGCAUACGUGCCAACAAAUUGGCAGACAUCUCCCUAUCUGCAGACGGAGACAAGAGACAUCUCAAAUCUCCAGGAAGCAGCCAUGUGAGACAGCGAGCCGUCAAGCGGCCUGCCAGCAUGUAUAGUAGUGGCAAACGGAAAGAAAACCCAAUUGAAGAUGACCUCAUGUUCAGGAUCGGAACAAAAGGCAGAAAUAAGGGUGAAUUUACUAAUCUGCAGGGAGUGGCUGCUUCUGCUGGAAAGGUCUUAAUAGCGGAUAGUAACAAUCAGUGUGUUCAGAUAUUUUCAAAUGAUGGGCACUUUAAGAGUCGCUUUGGAGUGAGAGGCCGAUCCCCAGGACAGCUUCAACGGCCCACUGGUGUUGCUGUGCACCCCAAUGGUGAAAUCAUCAUUGCCGACUAUGAUAACAAAUGGGUCAGUAUGUUCUCCAGUGAUGGCAAGUAUAAGACUAAAAUUGGCUCAGGGAAGCUGAUGGGUCCAAAGGGUGUAUCAGUAGACAGAAAUGGUCACAUUAUUGUUGUUGACAAUAAAGCUUGCUGCGUCUUAAUUUUUCAAGCUAAUGGAAAACUUGUCUCCAAAUUUGGCAACCGAGGCAACGGUGACAAGCAAUUUGCAGGUAUAUUCAUCCUCUGCAGUACAAUUAAAGGAGUCAUGAAUUAAGACUGAAUUAAGAAUAAAUUUUAACCCGGGCUUUUGUUAUACAAGAGGGAAUCGUAUUCCAGCGAACAUCCUUUAAGUGUCAGAACUGAAAACGCCCUUGUUACUGAAAUUACAACUGUUAUUGACACCAGGCCCAGUGAACGCCAGGUCCUGGAAUGCACCUAAUAGGUUGAACACCGCCUCCAUAGAAGAAUAUCAACAACUACAUUUCUAGCCCCGCCCACUGGUUCGUGCAUGACAGUACUGAAGUAACACAAGUUGCGCGGAACCAGAUAGAGCGAGCAAGCAAUAAACAUGCCGGUAAAGAUAGCAAAAUAUUGUGCAGUCAGUACGUGGCUGUGGAAGAACACAGUUGCUGCAUAACCUUCCUUCGGAUUCUGACAUUAGUAAUGCGUGGUAGAAGUUUAUUUUUAGAGAUGUUCCAGCUCACGUGGGUAAAACAUUGAGCGUUUGUUUACUUCAUUUCACCGCGGAUUCCUUUGUGAACAAGGCACAGGUCGAAGCUGGAUUUGCGGAGAGACUAAAAUUAAAAAGCAGUGCUGUGCCGUCAAUAUUGGUUGCGAUAGGAAUGGCGCAGCAAUCUUAUGUGAGUAAAACAUUUUUGUACUAUGCGUCACUAUUGCUUUGUUAAAGAUCGCUUGAUAUGCCCUGAUAGCCCUAUUCGCACAGGAUUAGUUUUACCUGGGGGCCUCUAGUCAUUUGUAAUAAUUGCAGAGGUUGUCUGUGAUCUUAAUCCCGUGCGAAUUGGCCAUGUCUGUAAUUUGUAAAGUAAAAAUUCCCCCACAAAUUACCUACCAUAUUUUGACGAACACCGAGGUCCUGUGAUAAUAUUAGUCCUGUGCAAAUCGGCAUCUCUGUGAUUUGGCGGGCUCAUAUAUCAUUUUUCAAGGUUUUGUCCACCGUUUGUGUAUAAUGGAGGCUGUUUUGAAGUGUUUUGAUAUUAUAUCGGGUGCUGGGUCAUAUCCAUAAGUUACCUGCCAACACUGUCGUUUUGGCCGGGAGUCUCCCGUUUGUUUAUUUAUCAUGGAAACUCUCGUCACGUUUGAGACCCGCGAUCAUGUGAUCUUCUGUCCGGUUCGCGAUCACGGGUCUCAAAUGCUGACAGGUACAGUCAUAUAUCAUUAAACAUCAUACAACUAUAGGCAAUACAAACUAUACGCAAAGCCUUGCAAUCAAAUCUGGGAAAUAAGUCAGUAAAUUUGAGUAAAAUCACAGGCUUCACUUAUCCCGUGCGAAUGCGCCACAUGAAAUACAGAUGUGGGGAGGUCAUUUCUAAAUCACACGAGGCCUCCAGAUAAUACUAAUCCUGUGCGAAUAGGGCGAAUGUGUAACCUAACGUUACGUGUCUAAACAAAUUCACAGAAGGCUCCAACUAAGUUUACUACGCAAACUUCUAUCCAAUCAUAGCAGUGGCCAUUUACUUCCAAGUCUUCAAUAAGGCACGCCCAUUAAAACCGAGCGUUUGUCGAGCCAGCCUCAAAACCCGGGUAGAAAAUAGCCUAUUACUUAUUGAUUUUGAUGUUUUUUAAUGUAAAAACCACGCAAACGUCAUAAGUAGACCUCAUACAACAGUAUAAAACAAUAAACAAGGCCAGUUCAUUCACCUUUAAGUAAAUUACCCAUCUUUUAUGUGUAUUCUGUAAUGCUGCUUGUUUUCACCAAGUUGACAUUCAUUUAAAUAUAAAUUUCUUAACUGAAUUAGUUGCAAUAUUUAUUUAUGCACUAAGUAUCAGUCUUGUAGCCUUGGCAGUGAUUUAUGAGCUUCUUGAGAAACUGAGACCAAAGACGCAUAUGGAGAUUAUCUUUGAUGCAUCAAUGCUUAAUGAAUCAAGCAUUUAAUCGGGUUCUUAUACACUUUAAUGGACUAAUGAUGCACAAUACCCAGAUAGCACAGUUAUGUCUGUAAGAUGUCUGCUAAAGAUCUGGAAAACAUCUGCUGUGUAAAAACAUCUGAUAAACGUCUUAGAAAGGCAGUUUCAAAUACAUUCUAAAUAAACAUCUUACAUUUAUGCAAUUGGCAGACGCUUUUAUCCAAAGCGACUUACAUUGCAUUAUUCUUUAUAUUUUUUUGUAUCUGUGUAGGUCUGUAAGACAUUAUAAGCAAAAUACAUUUUGCAGAUAUGUAAAUGCAUGUAAGACAUCAAAUAGACAUCUUCCAGAUGAAUGUUUUCUAUCAGGGUAAGAAUGUGUAGUCAGAAGUCGGUUUGUGGAAUAUUUCUGAAACUGCACAUGAAGAUAUAGUAAAGUAAUCUUAUGAAUUUACAACCAAGUCUUAUUUUGUGAAUCUCACAUUCAGCCACUAAUGAUUUACAACCUACAGUAUAACGUUUCUCAUUAUAAUUUUUUUUCUUUUUAUAGGACCUCAUUUUGCUGCAGUCAAUCAAAAUAAUGAAAUAAUUGUGACGGACUUUCAUAAUCAUUCCGUUAAGGUGUUUAGUCCAGAAGGGGAGUUUCUACUGAAGUUUGGGUCAAACGGGGAAGG